rnacentral:rRNA from 1 species
UACGAAGGGGGCUAGCGUUGUUCGGAAUUACUGGGCGUAAAGCGUGCGCAGGCGGCUUCUCAAGCCAGGGGUGAAAGCCCAGAGCUCAACUCUGGAAUUGCCUUUGAGACUGAGUGGCUUGAGUACGAGAGAGGUGAGUGGAAUUCCCAGUGUAGAGGUGAAAUUCGUAGAUAUUGGGAAGAACACCGGUGGCGAAGGCGGCUCACUGGCUCGUAACUGACGCUCAUGCACGACAGCGUGGGGAUCAAACAGG